rnacentral:rRNA from 1 species
GACGAACGCUGGCGGCGUGCUUAACACAUGCAAGUCGAACGGAAAGGCCCUGCUUUUGUUGGGUGCUCGAGUGGCUAACGGGUGAGUAACACGUGAGUAGCCUGCCCUUGACUUUGGGAUAACUUCAGGAAACUGGGGCUAAUACCGGAUAGGAGCUCCUGCUUCAUGGUGGGGGUUGGAAAGUUUCGGCGGUUGGGGAUGGACUCGCGGCUUAUCAGCUUGUUGGUGGGGUAGUGGCUUACCAAGGCUUUGACGGGUAGCCGGCCUGAGAGGGUGACCGGCCACAUUGGGACUGAGAUACGGCCCAGACUCCUACGGGAGGCAGCAGUGGGGAAUAUUGCACAAUGGGCGGAAGCCUGAUGCAGCAACGACGCGUGCGGGAUGACGGCCUUCGGGUUGUAAACCGUUUUCGCCUGUGACGAAGCGUGAGUGAAGGUAAUGGGUAAAGAAGCACCGGCUAACUACGUG